CUCUGGAAACCUCUGUUUUCUUAGAUUUGGAGCAGGGUGGUCACACUGACCUUGCAGAGUUCUGAGAAUCAGAGACAGAACAUAAAAGGCCUGGAAAACAUUCUCCAAAAAGAAGCUGCAACAUGUGUGGACAGUGGGCUUUUCAUGCCUCUCUUACUGUCUCUUACUGUCUGUUGACCUGGUGCAAGAAACAUGCUCUGGUGAUGGCUGUGAGGGAGGAA
rnacentral:lncRNA from 1 species